GCUUCCAGCUCUUCCUGCUUCCUGGUGGUCUGGAUCAGGAAGGAGCAUCUGCUGCAGAGGGACCCGUCCUUCAGAGAUGUUACAGGAAUGUCUUCAGUGCUCAUCAUCUUCGUCUCAGCUGAUCGACUGUCAACUCCUCUCUCUGCUGAGGAUAAAUUCAGCGACGGCAGCAGAGACGAUCAGACAGAGCAGCACCCAGCGAGCCGAGAGGCCAGGAGACAGACCCGUCAGAGAUCACCUGGAACAGCCUUCAUCAUCCUCAUCCUCCUGUAGAGGCUCCGUGUCAGCUGACUGGCCUCCGCCAACAUGCUCCGCCUCCUCUUCUACCUGUUUGCUGUGGUGGCACUGCCAGGU